UACGUAGGGUCCGAGCGUUGUCCGGAAUUACUGGGCGUAAAGAGCUCGUAGGUGGUUUGUCGCGUUGUUCGUGAAAACUCACAGCUCAACUGUGGGCGUGCGGGCGAUACGGGCAGACUUGAGUACUGCAGGGGAGACUGGAAUUCCUGGUGUAGCGGUGAAAUGCGUAGAUAUCUGGAGGAACACCGGUGGCGAAGGCGGCAUCCUGGACCGGCAUUGACGCUGAGGCGCGAAAGCCAGGGGAGCAAACGGG
rnacentral:rRNA from 1 species